AGGACCUAAACGAUCCAAAGUUUGACUAUCAGAUCAAAUCGAAUUCGAAGUGAUAGAAUCGAGAUUUCUUCAUCGAUUUCAUAAAAUCAAGUAAAGAGAGACAAUUAGAGGAGAGAGAAUUCAUGAGGUACAAUUUGAAUUGAUCAGGUGACACAAUCCAACAUUACGAUUGGUUCAAAAUCUCGAUUGGUGAAAUCAACAUGAUCAAAUCAAGUCAUGGCU
rnacentral:lncRNA from 1 species